ACAAUGACUUCCAGCUGGAGCAGCCCAGCCAGCCUGCGCGCUCACUCGCUUGCUUGCGCUGGGCUUCAGGGCGCCCGGAAUUUGCACUGUCUGUUAAAACGCGGUCAUUGUUUUGCUUUCAAAUCGAACUUCACGACAGUUAGCAACUUCAAGAACGCUUCCAAAUGGAUAAAUCUUUCCAGAAGAUUUCUUGCUUCAAAACAGCUGCAUUUUUGGAAGAAAGUCCACAACUGACAACUAAGCAAAACCCUCCUGGUGGAUAGCAUAAAUCUGCUUUGUUGAAGCUGCUCAUUUGUCUGAUCUAUGAGUCCAGAAGAUGCAAACUCCCUUCCCAGCUUAUGCAAAAAUACUUCCAGUAAAAACAAGCCCUUUGGCCCUUUUCUUUUGUCAGUCCAGAUUUCAGCAUGUUCUUCGCU
ensembl:lncRNA LNC-LBCS lncRNA bladder and prostate cancer suppressor, hnRNPK interacting